GGGGAAUUUUGGACAAUGGGCGCAAGCCUGAUCCAGCCAUGCCGCGUGUCUGAAGAAGGCCUUCGGGUUGUAAAGGACUUUUGUCAGGGAAGAAAAGGCUGUUGCUAAUACCGACAGUUGAUGACGGUACCUGAAGGAUAAGCACCGGCUAACUACGUGCCAGCAGCCGCGGUAAUACGUAGGGUGCGAGCGUUAAUCGGAAUUACUGGGCGUAAAGCGAGCGCAGACGGUUACUUAAGCAGGAUGUGAAAUCCCCGGGCUCAACCUGGGAACUGCGUUCUGAACUGGGUGACUAGAGUGUGUCAGAGGGAGGUAGAAUUCCACGUGUAGCAGCGAAAUGCGUAGAGAUGUGGAGGAAUACCGAUGGCGAAGGCAGCCUCCUGGGAUAACACUGACGUUCAUGCUCGAAAGCGUGGGUAGCAAACAGGAUUAGAUACCCUGGUAGUCCACGCCCUAAACGAUGUCAAUUAGCUGUUGGGCAACUUGAUUGCUUAGUAGCGUAGCUAACGCGUGAAAUUGACCGCCUGGGGAGUACGGUCGCAAGAUUA
rnacentral:rRNA from 1 species